UGAAUUUACCAGAGUACUAUGAAUGUUAAAAAUUUAAAACUCAAAGAACUUGGCGGUGUUUUAUACCACUUAGGGGAACCUGUCUCGUAAUCGAUAGUCCACGUUGUAUCUGACCUUUUUUUGUUUUCAGUUUGUAUACCGUUGUCGUCAGGUAACUUUUUAGAGAUUAGAAGUUAGCAAUAGAAAUGUGAUAAUUUAGUACGUCAAAUCAAGGUGCAGCUAAUAAGAAGGGGAGGAUGGGUUACAGUUAUGUGAUUUAUAAUACGGAAAAAUGCAUGAAAUAGCAUUAAUUUAAGGCGGACUUGAAAGUAAAUUAGAUUAUAUGAAUAAUUUGAAUGAGGCUCUGAAACGUGU
rnacentral:rRNA from 1 species